CCCAUGGCAGCUAGCAUUUCCCUUGUUCUAACUUCUAAUGCUCUUCACAUUUGUUAUGAGGGUGUGGCUGACCUGGGACCUGGUGAAAUCAAUUUUCUAAAAUAAGAAAAAUAAAAAAGAAAAAGACUUCUGAAUUCUAAGGGGUCAGAGAAGGAUCUUCCAGAGAUUGCUGAGUGGGGAGGGCCUGGGGAUAUGGUUCUACAGUUUUUGGUCAUAACCACAAAGAUUAGCAUCUCUGCUGCCUGGUCGAUGAAGCAUCCCAAAUAGUCCAUCAGCGAGGGCAAAGUGAUGGAAACAUUUGGAGUCACUGAUUAACAUGCUUGAGGGCUGGAUCCCUUAUUUGGGAGGUGGGAGUACUUCCAGAGCUUCUUUUCACUUAAUGAAGGCUGGGAAGCUCAGAGCUCAGUGGUACAGGGCUGGAGGAAGUCAUUUUCAUAUAUAGAGUCUUUCUUGUUUGGCCUCUUUUGUAGCAAUGACUCCCCAGGACCCUCCAGUAACAAUUUUACCAUCCCUUAGUCCAUCUCUAAUUUCCUCCAUUUCUCCCUGUCCUUGCCUAUAUGCUGACAUAAUUUUAUGUAGCUAUAAAAAAGCCAUGUUUAAAAUUAUAAGGUUAGCAUUUUCUUAUGUGGUGACAUAAUUGCUGUUACUACUAUUAUAAGUGAUUGCAUAAUACCUUACUGAAACAGUCUUAGAUAACACAGUAUUUUGGUUUUACACAUGAAAGAAAGAUUCAAAAAUUGUUGGGACAAGUACCUAUCCAUGAGGAAAAAAUAUAUCUUUAUCCCAGUCCUUACAGCACAUUCAAGAUAGACUGAAUAAUUAAAUAUAAAAAAUUAACAUAAACCAGAACAAAUGGGUAAGUGCUUUUUGAUCUUGGAUGGGAAAGGCCUGAGAGUGACAAAAACUUAAGAAAUUGCCAGGAUAAGACUGAUAAAUUUGGCUAUAUUCAUUCAACAAACAUUUAUUGAGUGCAUAUUCUAUAUGCAAGGUUCUGCUCUAGACACUGGGGAUCUCAGAGUUAUCUAAAAUGACAAGUAGGGAGUUGAGCUAUCAUACUCUCACACAAGUCAGUCAGUCAUAGCCAAAGGCUGUCCCUGGGGGCCUUAAGCCCCUGGGCACUCUGGGGCUCUCUGGGAAUAGGAGCAAAGCAGCCCCACUGACCUGAGGACAGGUGCCAGCCAUGGGAAGCCAGAGCACAUCAAGCCCCAGUGGGGGAUGUCCAGAAACCAUGCUUCCUCAACAUCCUGAUCCUUUCUUACCAAGACCCACUCUCCCCCAUCACACAUGGAUUCUUCCAAUCAAAUGUCUAUGUCCACUGACACCUGGCUUCCUAGCCAUCUUCUACCUCUACCCUUGUCCCCAGGGAUGUUCUCUACUUGUCCCCAGGUGGGACCUGGGGACAGCAUCCUUCCCAUCUAAAGACACUUCACUCCCAAGAAUAAGGCUUUCAAACGGGUCAGUGGUCCAGCAGGUGCAGCCCGCCCCCUGGUGGCCACAAUGUUGUGUGGUCCUUUUCCUGAGCCCAGCUGAAUGUGGAAGGCCUCUCUCCCUGCCAGUUCCUCAGUGUACACCACAGUCAGAGUGGGCUCAGUCGUGUCUCUUACCUUACCUGUCAUGAUUUGCACUCUUGUUCAGUUUUCCCCAGAGUAUUAGCAGAAAUGCCCUCAGGAGGCUGGGCGCAGUGGCUCACACCUGUAAUCCCAGGACUUUGGGAGGCCAAGGUGGGCAGAUCAUUUGAGAUCAGGAGUUCAAGACCAGACUGGCCAAUGUAGUGAAACACCCGUCUCUACUAAAAAUACAAAAAUUAGCUGGGCAUGAUGGCGCAGGCCUGUAAUCCCAGCUACUCGGGAGGCUGAGGCAGGAGAAUCACUUGAACCCGGGAGGCGGAGGCUGUAGUGAGCUGAGAUCGCGCCACUGCACUCCAGCCUGGCAAGGUUCCUGACCAAGCUGGUGCUUCUGCGUGUGUUCCUGCAUGACUUGGUGUGUCCCCUUCUCUUGGAUCUUUCUUUUUUGUUUGUUUGUUUGUUUUUGAGAUGGAAUUGCUCUUGUUGCCCAGGAUGGAGUACAAUGGCGUGAUCUCAGCUCACUGCAACCUCCGCCACCAGCCUGAAACCUAUGUUUUCAAACAGUGAUCUCUCCAGUGGCCUGGGCUUCCUCACAACAUGGUGGCUGGUUGCAAGGGUGUGUCCUCUGAGAGAGUCCCAGGCGGAAGCCAUAUCACAUUUUAUGACCUAGUCUCAGAAAUUACUCAGUGUCUUUUCUACUGCAUUCUGUUCACCAAGACUAUCAUAAUGUCCCACCUAGGUUCAGGGGGAGGAGAAAUAGACUCCAUCUCUUGAAGGGGCAUGGCAACGUGCUAGAAGAGCCUGUGAAUGGAAAUACUGUGGUAGCCAGUUUUGGAAAUUACAGUCUUCAACGAUCAUCCUCUCUGGGCAGAGCUCUUCAUGCCAGGACACCUCAUAGUGGCUACCUGAAGUCUGUGCCUCCACCUCCCCUGUUACGAAAUGCACCUGGGGCACCUAGGACCUUGGAAUUUCCUAUCCCACAGGCUUGAGCAUGGGGCCCACACAUCAGGGGAGAGCAGUGAGGCAGCUGUGAGCCAGGAGCCUGGGCUUGGCUGUCCCUGUGUUGUCACACUCCGGUGCAGCACUCCAAGGAAUCUGUUCGUUUAAAAUUCGAACUUGGUCAUUCAGCCUCAGAUUUUGUUGCAUUUUCCUGAUUUAGAUGGAAUGGAAUGAAGAAAACUCCACAGCAUACAGAAUUGGCCUCCAUUUGCUCUCUUGUCCUGCAAAUGUCAGAGGUGGGCCUGCCCUGACAGCUGUGGAGGGGGGCAUUUCCUGAGGUGUAGAGAAGAUCCCCCUUCCCUUUCCUCCCAGCUUUGGGUAGAGCCUGAGGCAGCUGGAGGUGUGUCAAGCCCUGUCAUGGCAGGACUCUGUCUUCACCAGUCUUCACAACCUCUCUGUUAAUAAUGCCAUCUUACAGAUGAGGAAACAGGCUUCACGAGGUUAAGUGGCUUGCUCCAUCAGAGCUGAGAUGGUGAUGAUUGCCUUUGUGUCGGGGAAUCCUAUCUGUCCGGGAAGCCGCUGCUCAAGAUGACAGGGCAAGUCAUUGAUUGGGAGUUUCCAGAUCUUAACUCUAAGCUCCCGCCACUCCUGCAUGCU
rnacentral:lncRNA from 10 species